rnacentral:rRNA from 1 species
UGCCUACAACAUAGUGUUAACACAUCAGAUCCCAUUAUAACUCCACAGUUAAGCGUGCUCAAGCUAGAGUAAUAGUAGGAGGGGUGACCACCUUGGAAGUCCUAGUAUUUUAAAUGC